rnacentral:rRNA from 1 species
GGGCCCGCACAAGCGGUGGAGCAUGUGGUUUAAUUCGAUGCAACGCGAAGAACCUUACCAGGGCUUGACAUACUGCGAAUCUUUUUGAAAGAAGAGAGUGCCUUCGGGAAUGCAGAUACAGGUGGUGCAUGGCUGUCGUCAGCUCGUGUCGUGAGAUGUUGGGUUAAGUCCCGCAACGAGCGCAACCCUUGUUUUUAGUUACCAAUUCGUUGGGUUUUCUAGAAAGACUGCCGGUGACAAACCGGAGGAAGGUGAGGAUGACGUCAAGUCAGCAUGCCCCUUAUGUCCUGGGCUACACACGUGCUACAAUGGUUAGGACAAAGAGUCGCGAGCUCGCAAGAGUCAGCUAAUCUCGUAAACCUAGCCUAAGUUCAGAUUGUAGGCUGCAACUCGCCUACAUG